rnacentral:rRNA from 1 species
GCGACCCCAGGAUGGGCGAGGCCACCCGCUGAGUUUAACUAUCAA